AUCCCAGUUGUGAGUCCUGUAAUCGUAACUCAAGUUUAUUAGUUACUAGAUACAGAAGCUCAUACUAGCAUUUUUCUUGUACUGGUAUAUUACCAUCACAGUACUGCCAUAUUUUUGUCGGCAUCACUGGGCACAGUUGGGAAGAGGUACACAGAUACAGGAGGCUCCUCACCAUCCCAAUAUCUAUUCAACCCUAUAUACAUAAUGUUUAUAUUUUUAAAAAUUUAGAAUAAUAUUUUUGUAUUUACUUCUUCCAGUA